rnacentral:rRNA from 1 species
AUGGCCUUCUCCCCGGCCACGACCGCCACAGCCGCGCGCGCGGCGGGCGCAUUCACCUCGGGCCGCGUCUCAAGCUCGCCGCCGUCGUCGCUGUCGUCGCCGUUCCUCCCGCGGGUGAACGGCGCGAUCGUCGCGAGGAGGGGACGCGGUGCCCGUGCGGCGGCCUCGCCGGUGCGCGCGCAGGCCGCCGGAGCCGCCAAGAAGAACGUGCUGGUCGUCAACACCAACAGCGGAGGCCACGCGGUCAUCGGGUUCUACUUCGCCAAGGCGCUCCUCGCGGCGGGGCAUGCCGUCACCGUGCUCACGGUCGGCGACGAGGGCUCGGACAAGAUGAAGAAGCCGCCCUUCUCCCGCUUCUCGGAGCUGACGAGCGCCGGGGCGAAGACGGUGUGGGGUGACCCGGCGGACGUCGGCGCGGCCGUCGGCGGAGCGACCUUCGACGUCGUGCUGGAAAACAACGGCAAGGACCUCGACGCCGUCAAGCCGGUGGCGGACUGGGCCAAGUCGGCCGGCGUCGGCCAGUUCCUGUUCAUCAGCAGCGCCGGGAUUUACCUUCAAACCGACGAGCCGCCGCACGUGGAGGGGGACGCCGUGAAGGAGAGCGCCGGGCACGUCGGCGUGGAGAAAUACAUCGCGGCGGAGUUCGGCAGCUGGGCCUCGUUCCGGCCGCAGUACAUGACCGGCUCCGGCAACAACAAGGACUGCGAGGAGUGGUUCUUCGACAGAAUCGUGCGGAAGCGGCCGGUGCCGAUCCCGGGGUCGGGGAUGCAGCUGACCAACAUCUCCCACGCGAGGGACCUGGGCAGCAUGCUCACGCUCGCCGUCGACAACCCCGACGCCGCCGCCGGGAAGAUCUUCAACUGCGUGAGCGACCGCGGCGUGACGCUCAACGGCCUGGCCAAGAUGUGCGCGGCGGCCGCGGGCGCCACCGUCGAGAUCGUCAACUACGACCCGGCCGCCGCCGGCGUCGACGCCAAGAAGGCCUUCCCCUUCCGCAACAUGCAUUUCUACGCGGAGCCUCGGGCGGCCAAGGAGGUGCUGGGAUGGACGAGCACCACCAACCUGCCGGAGGACCUCAAGGAGCGGUUCGCCGAGUACGCGAGCAGCGGCCGGGGAGAGAAGGCCAUGACCUUCGACCUCGACGACAAGAUCCUCGCCGCCGUCGGGGCGGCGCCGGUCGGCGUCGCCGCCUAG